UAAGAUGGAUUAUCUACUAUCCCAUAAACA
rnacentral:tRNA from 1 species